rnacentral:lncRNA from 1 species
UUUAUUCCAUGUAGUGUGAACAUUUGAUGCAGAAAUGUUGAUGCGUUUGACUAUUGAGUACUGCCCAGACCCCACUAGGGUUUUACGUAAUAUGGGUAAUAUGCUCUAUAUUAUCUUUCUAAAGUCCAAAAAGUUCAAGAUUUUGAAACACACCUGGUCCCCAGGGUUUGUUCACAGAUCCCACUUACCUCCAAGACAAGUGAGAAUGUAUGCUCAGCAGGCUGCCCGGUGCUGGCCUCAGCAUGGGAUGCUCAGGUGUGAGCAAGUGGAAAGGGCUUUGAAGAAAGGAUACAGCUCUUUGUAUGGGUACAUUUGCCAGGGAGGGGAGCAGUGUGUAAAUGCUCCACUAGACUGGGGGAUGUGAAAUUGACAAAGAGGGAGAGAAGCCCUUAGGAAAGGCAUCCUCCUGAGUGAAAUGGUAAUUCACUUUGAGAUGGUGCUAAUAAUUAAAACAUUUUUUAUGGCAUUUUAAGAAACAUCUAUUAGGCCCACAUGUGAAGCUACUCACAACUCCUUGUAACAUACAUUUCAGAAAUGUUGCUGUCCCUUGAUCUGCCUUUCUUAUCUUCAUCAGGUGGGUCCCCCAUCCCUAGCCCUGCUUAUGGCCUCCUCAGGAGGGCCAGCGAGGACGAUGGCUGAGGUGGGAGGGCAGGGAGCCAGGAGGAUCACUAUAAAUAGAGUCCACCUUCUCCAUUCUUCUCACUGAGCCACUUCUGAGCUUUCCAAAACAACUGCAGCAGCAGCAGCUGCCGCUUCAGCAGCCACAGAAGUGUUGGUGUCACCAGGACACAGCCUCAGGUCUGUUUCCAUGGUUACCCAAAUUCCAGGCACUGGCCCCAGGCCCACCACAACGCAUCCCUCAAAGUCUCUUUGGCAGAGGAAAAGCAUUUCUCCUUGCUGCGGCAAGUCAGAGCCAGAAUCUCGGGUUCUCCUGCUCCAAAGCCCCCACUACACCCUCAUUCGCGUGUGAUUCAUGCGUUUAGGUGGUUCUGCUCAGCGUCGUUUUUUGAGUUGGGGAGCGGUGAGUAAGCACAAUAUAAGUUUCCUUCAUUUCUCUUCUCCUUGUUUGAGCUAAGGAAUUACUUUCUUGUACCAAACAUUACACCCUUGGAAAACACUCCAGAUGGUUCUCAUUAAAAUUCCAAUUCCUUUUUUUGCAAUUCAUUUUUCCCCAUUCUCCUCAAACUACUAUCUCAAAAAUAAACACCAGGCUGAGGAGCAAGUGAGGGGUCUGUGAAUAGCAGCUCCAGUGAAUGGAAUCUUUCAGAGACCCCUGGUGUGGCCCUGAAGGCGCCUGCAGCUUCUCUUCUUGCCAAGGGUCACCUGGCCCUUCAUAGGGAGGCCAGGGGUAGCAGCCCUGUGGCAUCCUCACCAGGGAGAGUCCAAACACACAUGGGGGGCAUGUGCAUAGGGAUGCACAUGAACACAUAGGGAUGCCGAGUGCAGCAGCCCCAUGCACUGUCACCAGGGAGCGUCCAAACACACGUGGGGGGCAUGUUCGAUGGCAAAGGUGCCCUAAGGGGGCCAUGGGCUCUGCUGCCUCUGCAGGAAGAGGGGCAGAAGGCCAGCUAGGCCUCUGUUCCCCAACAGGCUGGGCCCAGACCAUGCUUUGCAGAGGGGCUGUCCACCUUCUUUAGUAUACAGCGAGGCCUCUGCAGAUUUCUAAAGACACUGGCCACAGGAGCGAGGUGAUGCUUACUCUAAGAAGCGGACAAGGAGAGACUGCCAAUGCCUUUUGGCCAUAAUUGCAGCUGAGCAAGUCACAGGCUUUGCUCCCACAUCUGGAAAAAUCUGCAUGCACAGGAAAAGUAUGUGUGUGUCCAGUGAUGUGUAUUUGAUAUGUUUUUAUUUUCAACUUUAUGUUAUGAAAAAAUUUAAAAAUACAGAAAAGUUGUAAGAAUGGUACAAUGAACAGCCAUAUCACUCCACCUAGAUCCAACGAAUGUUACAUUUUGUCAUAUUUCCUUUCCCUCUCUCUCUUUCCAGAUACACAGAGAGAUAAAUACAUAUCCUUUGCUUAGACAUUUGAAAGUUAGGAUCUUGUCCCUAUAGCAUUUUAUAACCUAGUAAUCUAUGCAUUAAUGCAAUCAUAUACUGCAGUCAUGCACUGCAUGACAAUGUUUUGGUAAAUGAUAGACUGCAUAUACAAUGGUGAUCCCAUAAGAUUAUAAUACCAGGCCAGGUGUGGUGGCUCAAGCCUGUAAUCCCAGCACUUUGGGAGGCCAAGGUGGGCUGAUCACCUGAGGUCAGGAGUUUGAGACCAGCCUGGCCAACAUGGUGAAACGCUGUGUCAACUAAAAAAAAAUACAAAAAUCUAUUUUGCGCCUGUAAUCCCAGCUGGUUGGGAGGUCGAGGCACAAGAAUCGCUUGAACCCGGGAGGUGGAGAUUGUAAUGAGCUGAGAUAGCACUGAGCUGAGAUUGUACCACUGCACUCCAGCCUGGGUGACAGAGUGAGACUAAGUCUCCAAAAAAAAAAAAUUAUAAUACCAUAUUUUUACUGUACCUUUUUAUGUUUAGAUAUAUUUAGGUACACAAGUAAUUACCAUUGUGCUACAAUUGCCUACAGUAUUCAGUACAGUAACAUGCCAUGCAGGUUUGUAGCCUGGGAGUAAGAGGCUAUCCCAUAGAGCCUAGGUGUGUAGUAGGCUCUAGCACCUGGGUUUAUAUAACUGUGCUGUGUGAUGUUUGCACAACAACAAAAUCACCUAAUAAUGCAAAUACAUUUCUCAGAGCAUAUCCCUGUGAUUAAGUGACACAUGACUGUAUAUGAAUAUAUUCUUAUUGUAAAAUAUUCAAACAUCCGAAUAGUACAGACACAUAGAGUAUAAGCAAAACCCAGGCAUGAGCCCCUCCUCAUCUCACCUUCCCCACUCCCCAGGGUUGCUUGGCUUGUG